rnacentral:lncRNA from 7 species
CCAUCCCUACACCCUGGUGGUGGGUGGGUGGUCAGUAAGCGGACGGGCGGGCGGCGGCUCGACAUCUGCAGUUUGGCACAUGUUGCACACCGGUCGUCAGCACGCUGCACGGUGGACGACCGGAUGGGUCAUGGCCGAUAGGGACGUCGUUGCGUGCUCCCGGCUCGGUGGCACACGGCACCCUUCCCGUCCUGUAGACCACAUCGGCGCUCUGUUCGGCGUCCUGGCUGCCUAGCUCCACGGCCCACACUCGGACAGUUGAACGCUCACGAGUCCCGGCUGACUUCCAACCUCCCACAGACCCAGCGCCG